rnacentral:tRNA from 3 species
GGCCCCGUAGCUCAGCAGGAUAGAGCGCCAGAUUCCUAAUCUGUAGGCCACUGGUUCGAAUCCAGUCGGGGUCACCA